GAUAACGUAUAACUUUCGACUAGAAAAAAAACUAGCGCUCGUUUUUUUGGUGGCAUAGAAGCCGUCAAAAGCGUACCCUAAUAAUCCAAGUUAAUAAGAUUAUCCUUCCAGGCGAGAAUCUUUUGUCUUCUAUGUCGCCUUAUUCCUUUUUUUCGACCAGCUGUCUGUUAGUGAACCCAUGAAUCCACCAGCACAACGUUAAAUCAAACCUCCCCGUUAAUUAUCGUGAAAAUAUCUUUUAUUUUUUGGUGACAAAACGCUACGAAACAUAAUUGACAAUAUUGUACUGGUUUCAAAUUGAGACAUCUUGAAAGUGUGAGCAUUAAAAGACUGAGGAGUGCGAGUAUGCUGAAGAUGACAAACAAAGCCAUCGUGUUCGCUAUGCUGAUGCUCCUGUUGACGCACACUUACACGGAAGCGGGCCAUUGGGGCUCCAGACGUAGGGCAAAACCGAACGGACUCACACGAUAUCUACUGACGCAAAGAAACCACUCGGACGUGAGAAGAAGUAUCUCCUUGGGAAGAAAACUCCAGAAUACAAUAGACAAAACGUUGCAGGCCCAGUGGCUGGAGCUCGUGAAACAAGCUGCAAGUCGGAGAUCGGCCCUUCUCUCUCCCCCAUGAAUGAGCUUCAAAGAUGUACCAGGGGUUGCCCCCCCCCCCCCCUAAUAUUUUCAAAAUAACCAGUUGGUGCAUGACUGUGCCCCCUAUUUUUUAAGUUUCUGUAUCGCCCCCCCCUCCCCCCAAUAUUGAGGCUACAGCUACAGCUAUGAACUAUGUUUUUUUUCCUGUUCGAGUUAGACUUGAACUUAAAUGAAGAUGACUUGCUCAUCUGACAGGAACAUUUAUCAGUAUUCAGAAGUAGUGUGAACUACCUGAAAAAGACAAAAGAAAAGACCUGUAUAAAGAAAAUCUGGUGCGACAUUAUGCGUGCAACAUGAUGGGUUAUUCCAAAUUGUUCAUUUGGAAAACA